rnacentral:rRNA from 1 species
GCUUGCUAUCAGGCGUCGAGCGGCGGACGGGUGAGUAAUACUUAGGAAUCUACCUAGUAGUGGGGGAUAGCACGGGGAAACUCGUAUUAAUACCGCAUACGACCUACGGGAGAAAGGGGGCAGUUUACUGCUCUCGCUAUUAGAUGAGCCUAAGUCGGAUUAGCUAGAUGGUGGGGUAAAGGCCUACCAUGGCGACGAUCUGUAGCUGGUCUGAGAGGAUGAUCAGCCACACCGGGACUGAGACACGGCCCGGACUCCUACGGGAGGCAGCAGUGGGGAAUAUUGGACAAUGGGGGAAACCCUGAUCCAGCCAUGCCGCGUGUGUGAAGAAGGCCUUUUGGUUGUAAAGCACUUUAAGCAGUGAAGAAGACUCCGUGGUUAAUACCCACGGACGAUGACAUUAGCUGCAGAAUAAGCACCGGCUAACUCUGUGCCAGCAGCCGCGGUAAUACAGAGGGUGCAAGCGUUAAUCGGAAUUACUGGGCGUAAAGGGAGCGUAGGUGGCUCGAUAAGUCAGAUGUGAAAUCCCCGGGCUCAACCUGGGAACUGCAUCUGAUACUGUUGAGCUAGAGUAUGUGAGAGGAAGGUAGAAUUCCAGGUGUAGCGGUGAAAUGCGUAGAGAUCUGGAGGAAUACCGAUGGCGAAGGCAGCCUUCUGGCAUAAUACUGACACUGAGGCUCGAAAGCGUGGGUAGCAAACAGGAUUAGAUACCCUGGUAGUCCACGCCGUAAACGAUGUCUACUAGUCGUUGGGUCCCUUGAGGACUUAGUGACGCAGCUAACGCAAUAAGUAGACCGCCUGGGGAGUACGGCCGCAAGGUUAAAACUCAAAUGAAUUGACGGGGGCCCGCACAAGCGGUGGAGCAUGUGGUUUAAUUCGAUGCAACGCGAAGAACCUUACCUGGUCUUGACAUAUCUAGAAUCCUGCAGAGAUGCGGGAGUGCCUUCGGGAAUUAGAAUACAGGUGCUGCAUGG